AUGUCGCCCAAUAUGCCUAUGGGCUAGUUGCUUUAGGACGUCAGUUACAUACUUUAGGGUUUACUGAUUCCCCAAAAAUUGAUCUGGACAACCCUUUGGCGGAGGAUUUGAUGCGGGCUUAUGAGAACAUGGGUGAUACCCUUGCACUACAAUAUGGUGGCUCUGCAGCACAUAAUAAGAUAUUUUCCGAGAGGAGAGGCCAAUGGAAAGCCGCAACACAGUCUCAGGAGUUUUUCAGAACACUACAACGUUAUUGCAGCAAUGCAUACCUGGAUGCUGAGAAACAACGUGCCAUUAACGUGUUCUUAGGUUACUAUCAGCCACAGCAGGGAAAACCAGCUUUGUGGGAAUUAGACUCUGACCAG
rnacentral:misc_RNA from 1 species